GAUGAAGAACGUAGCGAAAUGCGAUAAGUAAUGUGAAUUGCAGAAUUCAGUGAAUCAUCGAAUCUUUGAACGCACAUUGCGCCCCCCGGCAUUCUGGGGGGCAUGCCUGUUCGAGCGUCUCCAGGACGAAUCCUCGCGCGAGUGAACGCGCGGUCGUGGCGGAGGUGGCGUGCCCGAGCAGGGCGGCCACCGCGCUGGAAUCCAUGGGCGGACGCCUGCCGCGUGGCCGAGCGUGCUAUGACGCAUUGGCGCUCGUGCGCGGCGAGGCUGCCAGCCCUGGCCCGUCUGUCGGGCGGGGUAGAUCACCACGUGGGAACUCCUCGAAUCAGGUAGGGAUACCCGCUGAACUUAAGCAUAUCAAUAAGCGGAGGA
rnacentral:misc_RNA from 1 species